ensembl:lincRNA
UGUUCUUGUUUUAUCUUUCAGCCCAAGAACUUGCCAGUCAAGAUGAAAAACUUCUUCUAAUGGAAUCCAGCUUUAAGGCUACUCAAGAGCAGCUAACUGAGCAAAUAGCAGAAAGAGUUCGCCAAGAACAGAACAGUAGAAAACCCCAGGCAGAGCCGAAGACAGUGACAGAAGGGAUUAUUGCUUCUGAAGAAGAAAAAAAUGAUUACAAAUUCUGA